UAGUCAUAUGCUUGUCUCAAAGACUAAGCCAUGCAUGUCUAAGUAUAAACGUUUUUAUACUGCGAAACUGCGAACGGCUCAUUAUAUCAGUUAUAAUCUACUUGAUCGUAUAAUCUUACUUGGAUAACCGUAGUAAUUCUAGAGCUAAUACAUGCAAAAGAUCCCGACUGGUGACGGAAGGGAUGUAUUUAUUAGGUCCAAAAUCAAUGCUGGAUGGAAACAUUCAGGAAAGUUGAUGAUUCAUAAUAACUAAACGAAGCGCGGAGCAAGACUCAGC
rnacentral:rRNA from 1 species